GUUCUUUACCACAGCCACCUGGGAAGCUGGUUUCCCCACACAAGCACCAAAAAAACCACAAAAAUACAGACAACAAAAAACCACACUCCCCUGCCUACUGUGGACAAAACUUGGCAAGGCGAGGCAAUAUUUUGUGUUCAUUUCAGAAAAUCUCAACCUAAUCAGGUGAAAUAAUGGUACCAUCGUUUAUCUUCAGGUGCCUAAGACACCUGAGAAUCCGGUGGAAGAGGAACUUUUUCAGAUUGGCCUGUGGCUUCCGGCAGUGGCGAGGUGCUGAUAGCGCUGAGCACUCAGAGGCUGAAAUUGGAUUUACCCGCAGGCUGAGGGCAGCGCUGGGCUGGCAAGCCUUGGAGUCAACAUCCAUCCAUUCAUUCCUAAGGGGGGGAAAAGGAAAUACACUAUCCGAACUCAAGAGGCCUAUUUAUUUAUCCCCGUUAGCAGGCAGGACACUUGACAAGCCCACGUCUUGGGGCUCGUUAGCGUCUUUAUUGCGAGAAGAUCUCGCCCGCAAGUUCCCACGGGGGCCAGGAGUCAGCGGGGCGCAUUUUCCUUAAAAAGCCUUCUUCACAGAGUGGGCUGGAAUCGCAACCGUUAAAGAGGCCUCACCGCACAAAGGGGCGUCCCGGCGGUAAUCGGUAAUCGGGAAAUAAAUUUGAUUUUCUGAAUUCUUCGGCAGCUGGUGACAAAGGAGCAGCAUUCCUGUGCAUACGCAGUCAGCUUUGAAAUGAUGUAGAGCAGCUAUGUGAAGAUAUGAACUUUAAAGAAAACAAAGACUUCCAUGUGGACAUACAGUAAGUCCCCUACAUACCGACUUCAUCCCUUCAAGCUGGGAACUUUCGAAGAUGCAAGCGAACAUUCCAUCCAUGUCAGCACAGUCUCAGAGACAGCUUCUUACUGAUACACUGGAUGGACCUCAGCUGCAGCUUGAAGGGUCUGAACAUACCAAUAACAGCCAAAAUGACGCCCACCGACUUCUACCCCAAACUGAUUCCUUCUCUGCUACCUUCUCCUUAGAGGACAACAGCUUUGUAACUCGGGAGACCUCCCACGUUCAGUGGGGGUGCUUGGGCAUAUUGUAGAUGGAGACAAAAGGAAAAACUCAGGAAGAUGUCCUGUCUUUAAAUCCUUUCAUAUUUUAUACAUUGUAAAUGCUUCGCAUUAAUUUUUAUUUUUAAAAAUAUGGCAUUAAAGUGGUAUUUAUCUUGA
ensembl:lncRNA